AUGCUUCUUCUCAUGAUGUAUCUGGAUUUAAUCAUAUGCACACUCAAUUAUGCAUAAGCAUAGUAAGGUACUUAGAAGAAGAAGUUUACUUUAUGGUAUAUGUACUACAAACCAGACUAGGUUGUAUCAGCACAUUUCCCAUGGUUCCAAGUUUAUUAGAGGAAGUGCUGGGAAGGAAACAGAUAUUAACAGGAGGUUGCUAAGAAAGAUCUAUGUACUCAAGCCAAGUCAGCAUGGAAUGAAGACCUUCUCAAUGUUAACUUCAAAGCAACCAGAUUUCCAGAAGAAAAAUCUCUACAUUCUGUACGAAACUUCCUCAUUUCUGAAGCUUCCUGGGCACAAUUUUUCUCCUGUUGACAGGGCCCAGCCUGGACCACUCGAAGGCCAGCAGAGAACUUCUCAGUCAAGUCAGGUUGAGUCACAGCCCCACGUAAAGGUAGGAAAAUUUAUGCUGGCAGAACCCAACAAUCCCUAGACAUUUGAGGAGCCAACACAGACAAAAAGGUGAAACAGCAGAGACAACUGCAGAGGACACAUCAUACACCAUCACCCUAUGCUUGGCUCCAACUGGGAGCUGAAAACUAGUAACAAAAUUUAAACAGACAAGAACAUACCAAUCUCCCCAAAUGAUACCUCAGUGUGUGAGCCUAUGUGUCUGUUUAUGUGUACAUGUGUGCACAAACAUCUGUGCUGAAGACACAUCUACUCUCUGAUGCCUUCUUACAUUGUCCCAAAACAAGAGUCUACCUUGUAAUCAAACCAGCAAGCAGCCCUAAGGAUGCAGUCUACAGAGGUGAACCUUAUAAAGCACAGAUCCAGCUAGAGGAAAGCAGAGAAUGGCUUGGGAAAGAUAGAGAGAGA
rnacentral:lncRNA from 1 species